rnacentral:rRNA from 1 species
CGGCAGCGCCAUGAUUGUCUUCCUCUUCGCCUCACGACUCUGGUAAAAGAAAGCCUCCUCCCUGGCUUCUUCAUGCGCAAGCUGGAAUAGCGCAGAGGCUCUCGAGAUCAUGGAAUGGAAUGACCCCACCUUAUCCGGUGUGGACACCCGAGGCAGCAGAGACCUGCUGCCCAAUGCGAGGAUAUCCUUGUCAUCCGUCGGCAUGGCCAUAACCGUUCCCGUACCAGAUUCUGGGUCUGCUGGGCAAUAGUGGGGGCCGACAGAUGUGGAGGCGGAAAUGAGGGCAGUGGAUGAUAAUGAUUAUGAUUCCACUUCGCUGGCGGCUGAUCGGAAGGCCCAUUGGAACCAGGCCCUGUGGCAGUCUCUUCUGGAUCUCCAACACCAAGGUGUGGAGGGUCGACAGGAUGUCCAGAGACGCAUCCCUCGGCAGAGCUGGCGUGAUCCGAAUACUAGGCCGUGUCGCCAUCCACUACCAUGUACUCGUGGACCAUGCAAGGAUUCCAGUCCUCGUCUGUGGAUGAGACCUCCAUGGCUUGGGCCACAGCCUGGAGGGCUGAUCAGGGGCCUCCUAACCCCCCCCCCCUCUGAGGGGCUGGCACCAGGAUCAAAGACGGUGUGCCCUUUUCCAGCGUGCCAGCAGACUUUGCCAAAGUCACUGUGGCGGUUUUGUGCCUCGGGGCAGGGAUACCUUCUGCGCUGCAGGUGCUACCUUCACAGGGUCAGCUCUAGUAGCAGUCGUGAGAGCAGUCGCCACCAACUAUUUCGUCAACGAAGUCUUAUCUUGGGCCGAUUGGGCUUUCUUGGCCAGUUCGGCCUUCUCCUCCCUCUGCGGUUUCUCCCGCGGAUUUUGCCGGGCUGGAAGAUUUCCUUUGAGGAGACGCUCGAUUGACGGCUGGCAAUGGAGGUGGAGGAUAAUGUCGAUCGCGCCCUGUGCACCUUGCGACCUGCUUCCGUGGCAAACCCGGUGGACUCGGACUUGCGGUUCUUGGCCUUGUCUUGGGCCCCCACAGAUGAGGCGCCCUCAAAGGACUUAGAAGACCGCUCCUCAGACCAGCCGGUCCUAGGUGAGGCAUGACCCAGCUCGUAGCACAGGGCAGAGGCCCUGUGAUUCAGCCACGCUGCCAGUCUACUGUGCCGGUCCAUCAUCUUCUUGGAGAACCUGAGGCAUAUCUCGCACUCCACCUCCUUAUACUCUGGGUGAAGGCAGUAGAGGCAUUGUAGGUGAUUGUCUUCGACAAAUACAUUCCGUAGCCUGCACUUGGUGCAGGGCUUGAAGAAGGACCUUCCCUCCUCCUCCUCCGUCAUGGUCGCAAGGUACAAAGUAUGCCCGAUGGCCAUCUGGAACCUUUGACAAUCUUUGCACCUUGAGGGGCACUGAAAUUCACCAACAACGGAUCUCGCUGUCGGCAAAUGGAAAACAGAGCACACUGGCUCUUCGGAAUAAAAAUAGAACCUUUUUCCAUCAAGAAAACUCAAGGACUCCCACUGAAGCGUGCGCUAUAAAUCUGAAGAGGGCAGCCAGAGGAGGGGCUUAGGGAGAGGAAUGUCAUUGGCUGGGGGCAGUAGAUAGAACAGUGGCUGGUUUAAAGAAGAAAUACAGUUUAAGUGAAACCGUUUUUAUUUUACUGAGGAUUCCCAGCCUGGCAGGGAAUAUUCAUGAGCAUGUCAAUACAUGCCAGACCCCAUGCUGGAUAAAUGUAUCAUAUCGCCAAUUGUCCAGCCCUAAUGCUAUUUCUGCCCAGUGGCCUGAAUGUCAAAGCAAACAAAUUCACUGAGGCAUGGGUAUGAUAUAUGAUAUUUUAUUUGUAUCGCGCUCGUACACAAGUGUUUCAGAGUGCGACUAGGCAAGGGAGAACACAGCACAACAUAAAAACGAUUUGACUAGGCCCAUUGACAUUGGGAACACGCAAGUGCAUGGGAAAGGAAAAAGUGCAUGGAAGGGGGAGAGUGGAAAGUGCAGAAGCCGAUGAGCGCAGAUAAAUAAAAUAAAUAGAAGAUUGAGGCAAACUGUGGUAGUGCAGCCAGCAAGUGGCAAGUGCUGUGCUUAAGGCAGCAGACUGGUAAGUCUGAAUAAGUGCAGAAAAGAAGAAAAAUGGGGGGUUGGGGGGGAUCUGUAUGGAUACAGAUACAGUCCCCAGUGCAAGGGGUGGCCAGGAGGCAGUGCAGGAAGGUGCAGGGUGAGCAGGUACCUGGGCCAGGGGACAGAGGGUGGCUAGGUGCACAGUGCCAAGAGAGCCGAUCAGCAGGGGAGAAGGGAGCGAAGAGGAAGGUUUUGAGGUACUUCCGGAACCGGAGAUGGUUCUCCUCAAGUUUUAGAGUGGCAGGGAGGCUGUUCCAGAGGGAGGCCCCAGCCGAAGAUAGAGAUCUACCCCCAACUCGUUUCUUUGAAAAACAACUGACCCUGAGGGAGUUAGAGGUAGAGGAGCGAAGAGCUCAAGAGGGGAGGUGUUUGCGGAGGAUAGCUGAAGGUAUUUUGGACCCAGGCCCCAGACAGCAGGAGUGACUAUGCCUCUUAAGGAAGCCAAAUGCCUUGCCAUCCAAUAAGUGACACGCAUGAAUAAUAUUCCCACUGUCCUGACAGAUCUAGCGAAAUCAGCGCCAAGGAAACUGGCUUCACUGAAUCCGCAAGGAACAAAAGACAUUGUUGCGUGGGGCUCUAGUCUGCCACAGUGAAUGAUGUAGGAUAAGUGGGUAGCCUUCGGGCUGCAGGUGAAAAACCACUCACUAUUUCCACUUUUCCAGUGAGGUGGUGGUGGCGAGAAUCAUGGGGCUUUCGAUACUGGCUGAGAGCGCCCGGUGGGUGCAGCCCAUUACCGGAACAGUGGCAGUUCAGGAGUUUGACUGGGGCGGUACACCAGUCAAAUUUUAACACAGGUGCGCUGAGGAGAGGUCAGUGAGGACAGAAAACUCCCACAGAGCAGAAGGGCAAACGCUCGCUUGAUGUCGAUUUUCAGUAUGAAUACAGACAGUGAAAGCAGGGCCUCACGAUCCUUCUGACUUUAUGGGUUUCAAGCAAGGGGUGUCAGAAAAGUCACCAGAGGAAUAAUCGGCUUGUGCGGCCAAGCAAUCAAAGCCAUUGCUUUUUGGUCCUUAGAGGUUCCACUUAUGAUUGUGAAUCAGAAUUCAUCAAGAGUUUUAUUGUUCAUCCACUAAUCGUGAACGCGAGCAGGUUUAGACAAUUGUUAAACAGGUUAGUUUUACCCUACUGGUGUGGUGUUUCAAUAGUAACAGUACGAAAGGAACCAGUGGUUGACGUUUUGUGGAUGUGCUUGGCUGAGAAGCCUAUGUUGCAAAGCUACGAUCGAUGACGGAACACCUCCAGGUCAAACUCCUCCCCCCCUCACCACUCCCCAAACCGUAACGAUACAGCAGUGCUGUGGAGCUUUGU